rnacentral:rRNA from 1 species
CAAUAGCGUAUAUUAAAGUUGUUGCAGUUAAAAAGCUCGUAGUUGGAUUUCUGGGAGGGUGCCAAUGUCCGUCGUCGUACGUGUUGCAGCGGCGCCCUUCCAUCCUUCUGUUAACGACUUUGGGCAUUCACUUGCCGGAGUCGGGCUCAGAUAUUUUACCUUGAGAAAAUUAGAGUGUUUCAGGCAGGCGUAGCCGGAAUACAUUAGCAUGGAAUAAUGGAAUAGGACUUAGUCUCUUUGUUGGUUCGAGGGACUGGAGUAAUGAUUAAUAGGGAUAGUUGGGGGCAUUAGUAUUUCAUUGUCAGAGGUGAAAUUCUUGGAUUUAUGAAAGACGAACUUCUGCGAAAGCAUUUGCCAAGGAUGUUUUCAUUAAUCAAGAACGAAAGUUGGGGGCUCGAAGACGAUUAGAUACCGU